ACUAAUUUAACACUGAUCACACAGGCCCAGUGCAUGCUUGGGUUAUUUUCAGGAAGAGAAAGGAAGGCCCUCCUAAUGCACGGCACAUCUGCUCAAAGUGGCUUCUCUGUUCCUAGGAGUGCGACAGCU